CCAGCGCGUAAUGGCGGGGACUCACAGGUGACUGCCGGCGCAAGUCGGAGGAAGGCGGGGAUGACGUCAAAUCAUCAUGCCCUUUAUGUCCUGGGCUACACACGUGCUACAAUGGGCGGUACAACGGGAAGCGAGACCGCGAGGUGGAGCGAACCCCUGAAAGCCGUUCGUAGUUCGGAUUGCAGGCUGCAACUCGCCUGCAUGAAGCCGGAAUUGCUAGUAAUCGCGGAUCAGCAUGCCGCGGUGAAUCCGUUCCCGGGCCUUGUACAACACCGCCC
rnacentral:rRNA from 1 species